UUCGCAAUGCCCGAAAGGGUGACGAAGCGACGCCGCGUGCGGGAAGAAGGCCUUCGGGUUGUAAACCGCUGUCGGGAGUUAGGAAAUGCAAGGAUGUUAAUAGCGUCUUUGCUUGACUAAGGCUCCGGAGGAAGCCACGGCUAACUCUGUGCCAGCAGCCGCGGUAAUACAGAGGCGGCAAGCGUUGUUCGGAAUUAUUGGGCGUAAAGAGCACGUAGGCGGCCGUGUAAGUCGGUUGUGAGAGCCUUCCGCUCAACGGGAGAACGGCAUCCGAUACUGCAUGGCUCGAGUGCGGGAGGGGAGAGUGGAACUUCUGGUGGAGCGGUGAAAUGCGUAGAUAUCAGAAGGAACACCGGCGGCGAAGGCGACUCUCUGGCCCGUAACUGACGCUGAGUGUGCGAAAGCUAGGGGAGCAAACGGGAUUAGAUACCCCGGUAGUCCUAGCCGUAAACGAUGGGCACUAAGUAGAGGGGUUUU
rnacentral:rRNA from 1 species